GGGAAUUCUUACUGCACCAUUACAUGGUGGAUGGCAUCACAAGGCAGAAAGGCAGAGUUAUUAGGGGCAGGGAAAAAGAGAGAAAAAAUAUAGAGAGAAAGAGAAUAGGGCCAAACUUACUCUUUUGUAAUGAACCCACUUCUGCAAUAAUGGAAUUAAUCCGUUCAUGAAGGCAUAGAUUUCAUCACCUAAUCAAUUCUUAAAGGCUCAAUUCCUUCUUUUUUUUUUUUUUUUUUGAGCCGGAGUCUCACUCUGUUGCCAGGCUGGAGUGCAGUGGCGCGAUCUCAGCUCACUGCAACCUCUGCGUCCUGGGUUCAAGGGAUUCUCCUGCCUCAGCCUCCUGAGUAGCUGGGACUGCAGGCGCGUGCCACCACGCCCAGCUUAUUUUUGUAUUUUUAGUAGAGAUG
rnacentral:lncRNA from 1 species